rnacentral:rRNA from 1 species
CCCUUCGGGGUGGAUUAGUGGCGAACGGGUGAGUAACACGUGGGCAAUCUGCCCUUCACUCUGGGACAAGCCCUGGAAACGGGGUCUAAUACCGGAUACAACCACUGACCGCAUGGUCUGGUGGUGGAAAGCUCCGGCGGUGAAGGAUGAGCCCGCGGCCUAUCAGCUUGUUGGUGAGGUAGUGGCUCACCAAGGCGACGACGGGUAGCCGGCCUGAGAGGGCGACCGGCCACACUGGGACUGAGACACGGCCCAGACUCCUACGGGAGGCAGCAGUGGGGAAUAUUGCACAAUGGGCGAAAGCCUGAUGCAGCGACGCCGCGUGAGGGAUGACGGCCUUCGGGUUGUAAACCUCUUUCAGCAGGGAAGAAGCGAAAGUGACGGUACCUGCAGAAGAAGCGCCGGCUAACUACGUGCCAGCAGCCGCGGUAAUACGUAGGGCGCAAGCGUUGUCCGGAAUUAUUGGGCGUAAAGAGCUCGUAGGCGGCUUGUCACGUCGGUUGUGAAAGCCCGGGGCUUAACCCCGGGUCUGCAGUCGAUACGGGCAGGCUAGAGUGUGGUAGGGGAGAUCGGAAUUCCUGGUGUAGCGGUGAAAUGCGCAGAUAUCAGGAGGAACACCGGUGGCGAAGGCGGAUCUCUGGGCCAUUACUGACGCUGAGGAGCGAAAGCGUGGGGAGCGAACAGGAUUAGAUACCCUGGUAGUCCACGCCGUAAACGGUGGGAACUAGGUGUUG